GACGAACGCUGGCGGCGUGCUUAACACAUGCAAGUCGAACGGAAAGGCCCUGCUUUUUUGGGGUGCUCGAGUUGCGAACGGGUGAGUAACACGUGAGUAACCUGCCCUUGACUUUGGGAUAACUUCAGGAAACUGGGGCUAAUACCGGAUAGGAGCUCCUGCUGCAUGGUGGGGGUUGGAUAGUUUCGGCGGUUGGGGAUGGACUCGCGGCUUAUCAGCUUGUUGGUGGGGUAGUGGCUUACCAAGGCUUGGACGGGUAGCCGGGCUGAGAGGGUGACCGGCCCAAUUAGGAUUGAGAUGAGACACAGCCUCCUACGGGAGGGAGGAGUGCGGAAUAGUGUAUAAUGGGCGGAGGGCUAGUGCAGUCAAGCAACGUGGGGGAUGAGAGCAAGGGGGUUGGAUACCGAAUCCGCCUGUGACGAAGCGUGAGUGACAGUAAUGGGAAAAGAGGCACCGGCUAACUCCGUG
rnacentral:rRNA from 1 species